CCAAGGAAAAACUAAUGUACAAUAGACCAAGAUAAAACAAAUGUACAAUAGACCAAGGUAAAACUUAUGUACAAUAGACCAAGAUAAAACUAAUGUACAAUAGACCAAGAUAAAACUAAUGUACAAUAGACCAAGGUAAAACUAAUGUACAAUAGAUAAGAUAAAACUAAUGUACAAUAGACCAAGAUAAAACUAAUGUACAAUAGACCAAGGUAAAACUAAUGUAAAAGAGACCAAGGUAAAACUAAUGUAAAAGAGACCAGGGUAAAACUAAUGUAAAAGAGACCAAGGUAAAACUAAUGUAAAAGAGACCAGGGUAAAACUAAUGUAAAAGAGACUAAGAUAAGAUAAUAUAAAGUAAGUUUCUACUUACACAAUAAACUGCUGUUAUAAAACUGCAUUUUAAAAUAAAAU